UGUGAAGAAUGAAAUAGUGAGUGGCAAAGUGCUUUGGGAGCUGCGAAGAGUGGUGUCAACAUGAGGACAAGGACAGUCAUGGUGGUUCCACUUUACCCCCUUAGAGCUCAGCCUCCUCUGACAAGACAGAUGUGUUGGGUGCCUGAGUGUCCCCUGCCAUUCCAACUUUUGCUGGAUGAGGAGGUCUCUGCGGGCCCACUUAAAAACUUCUGAAGUGGUGUUGAUUUGGACGUACGGCUAGGGACAGAACUGAGAAAUGCCUGGACUUGGAGGUGAAGAGAGAUGAGGGGAGGGGUAACUGCUACUUGAUGACAGCCUCGGCACCCCUGAAGGAAGGCCCUUUGCUGUGAACUCUCCAGUCUCUCCUCCUCAACUGACAGCACAAAAACUGUCCACAAGGAGUGACUGCUAAAUGCACAGGUAUAGGACGGAAGUAUCUAUUUUAGGGGACUUAUCUUUGUAGUGGCUUUGUUGUAACUCCGAGAUGGUGGAAUUAGCUCAAAUAAAGGAUGCAGAAAGCCUGAGCUCCGGCCAAGUCUCAUCACUCACUAGCCUUGGGCAGCUGGAAACAUCAUUUCAGCACCCAUUUUCCACAUCUAUAAAGUGACUGCAAUGGCCAUGACAGUAUUACAAUAAAAAUUAUGUCUCCACUUAUUUGUCGUGUCACUCUGAGGGGUAAGUAUGAUUAUAACCUGAAGAUACU
rnacentral:lncRNA from 1 species